rnacentral:rRNA from 1 species
CCUACGGGAGGCAGCAGUGGGGAAUAUUGGACAAUGGGGGCAACCCUGAUCCAGCCAUGCCGCGUGUGUGAAGAAGGCCUUCGGGUUGUAAAGCACUUUAAGCGGGGAGGAAGGGCUUUGGGUUAAUAACCUGGAGCAUUGACGUUACCCGCAGAAUAAGCACCGGCUAACUCUGUGCCAGCAGCCGCGGUAAUACAGAGGGUGCAAGCGUUAAUCGGAAUUACUGGGCGUAAAGCGCGCGUAGGCGGUUGUGCAAGUUGGAGGUGAAAUCCCCGGGCUUAACCUGGGCACUGCCUUCAAAACUGCACGGCUAGAGUAUGGGAGAGGAAGGUAGAAUUCCAGGUGUAGCGGUGAAAUGCGUAGAGAUCUGGAGGAAUACCGAUGGCGAAGGCAGCCUUCUGGCCUAAAUACUGACGCUGAGGUGCGAAAGCACGGGGAGCAAACAGGAUUAGAUACCCUGGUAGUCCAUGCGUAACGAUAGUACACUAGUUAGUUAGGUAGGUACGUUAGUAUCUCUUAGUUGUACGC